CCAGUCCCCCAAUCUAUCCUAAUCUCUCUGCAGCAAAGCAAUAUCCUGCUCACAUUUUAUUACUUUACAAAGUUUUGUGUCAUCUGCAAACACUGAUACAUGGCUUUCAAUGCCUAUUUCAAGAUCAUUUAUAAAUAUGUUAUAGAAGUGGUCCCAAAACAGAACCCUGAGGGACACCACUUACCACUUUUGUCCAGCCUGAAAAUUUACCAUUAGUAACAACUCAUUGUACUCUAUCCUUAAGCCAAUGUCCUACCCAAGAACAAGAAUAUUCAUCUAGACCAAUUUCUUUUAGUUUGAAGACUAACCUAUUGUGAGGAACCGUAUCAAA